AGUGAACGCUGGCGGUAGGCCUAACACAUGCAAGUCGAACGGCAGCACAGUAAGAGCUUGCUCUUACGGGUGGCGAGUGGCGGACGGGUGAGGAAUACAUCGGAAUCUACUUUUUCGUGGGGGAUAACGUAGGGAAACUUACGCUAAUACCGCAUACGACCUACGGGUGAAAGCAGGGGAUCUUCGGACCUUGCGCGAUUGAAUGAGCCGAUGUCGGAUUAGCUAGUUGGCGGGGUAAAGGCCCACAAAGGCGACGAUCCGUAGCUGGUCUGAGAGGAUGAUCAGCCACACUGGAACUGAGACACGGUCCAGACUCCUACGGGAGGCAGCAGUGGGGAAUAUUGGACAAUGGGCGCAAGCCUGAUCCAGCCAUACCGCGUGGGUGAAGAAGGCCUUCUGGUUGUAAAGCCCUUUUGUUGGGAAAGAAAAGCAGCAGGUUAAUACCCCGCUGUUCUGACGGUACCCAAAGAAUAAGCACCGGCUAACUUCGUG
rnacentral:rRNA from 1 species